CAUCUCCAAAAUAUUCAUGAAUUGCUACAACAAGAGAAAUUCAUAGGAAUUUUUUAACGUUCCUAGUUUGUAAAGGAAUUCGAGGUGAUACGUCAGAAUAAGUGAACCCAUGUUUACGUUUUAGCCCCUGUUGCCGGCUCAUCACAAAAUAAACGACAAAUGACCAGAGUGAAUCCUACAGAACUAGAUACAUGAUGAAAUUCGUAUUACCUUCUUACAUGAUACUAGCAUACAUAAAAACAAUGAUUAGAUGUCACGAAAGGAAAAUCAUUUUGAUUUAGUCAUUAAUUUUCUGAUAAUGGCCCUCAACGGGGACUGAAACGUGGACUUGGGUUCGCAAGAACCUUGCUUAUCCGACCUUUGAUUACCCGAGGUUCUGCAUUAUCCGAGACGCCCAUCUCAUCCGAGCACUCUGCACUAACCGAGGCAGAAAAGACAAGAAGAAACUGAGGCUAGUUGCAAUAGGGUGCUCACAACGGUCAGGAAAGGAUAGAGAUAGAGAUUCUACUAGAGAUAUUCAAGAGUCGUGAGAUCAACGUCAAUCCGACUACUGGCAGUGAUAUCAGCAGAGCUCGGCCUUGAGAUACAUCAGAUGAAUAUCAUUACGGCGUACUUAAACGACACACUAGAAGAGGAUGUAUAUGUG